CAUCAGAGCUGUGAGGCUUUGCGGGGGGGACUACCAUGCAUACUACGCCUGCGCAAUACGUCACAGCAGGCGUUCCAUAGCCUGCCACCAUAGCGACCACCAUAUUUAAAAUCUGUCAAGUGUAUAUGUUCCAUCAUCUCGUUUAAUCAAGGUUUCGAGAGCAUUGGAGAGUCCAGCAGGAAUACAUAUACUCAGUCAAAAAAUUGUGUCUACUCUUUUUUUAUCUUCAUAUUCAUCGAGGAAUUUCUCGAGGUGAAGAAAGACAACCGAAACAAAACGAAAACAACCGAGCACCGAGCAUUCGAUACUUCUAGGAGAUAUACACAGAGGAUCUCCAUUCCCCCUCCGUCCUUCAACGAGUUAAGAUCUA